GAGAGACGACACCUACCAGCUGGAAGGCGGUUCCGCACCAGACACCGAAGCUGCUGGGCCUUCGACCUCGGACCUCCGUCUUCCAGAACUGUGAGCCACACAUUCCUGAUGCUCCUAAGCCACGCCGUGUACGGUAUUUUGUUACGGUAGCCCAAAUGGACCAAGAUAGGAGCUAAAGGUGCUUGUGAGAUUCCACGCAUCAUACUAGAGGUGUGAGCACUGCACCUAAGGGUGCCUCGGAUCAUCCCUGAGAUGCAGGCACUGCACCAGGAGGUGUCUUGGAUCAUUCCUGAGGUGUGAGCACAUCAUCAGAAGACCCUUUUGUCCAUGGGGUCCCAUUCUCACCUUCUGGAUACACAUCACUCUCGGGGCCGCCAUUCUACCUGCCUCAUCUGUGCGCGGCAGUCUGGACCUAGAAGCUCUGUCCCCUCUGCUGCCCAGUGGAGUCGAGUGCCUGGCACCCAACACCCAGACAGGGUGGCCACCAACCUGGUUGAGGGGACUGUCCCCAAGAUGAUCACAGAACAUCAGGCAGGGCUCCUGAGCCAGCGCCCCCCCCAAGCCUGCCUCGCUCCCAGUACGGCCGGAAGAGUAGCUGAGGCCAACCCCUGAAGCAGCCAAGGCGUCCUCUAUGCCCAGAAGUGCCAGGGAUCGGGGGCUGCCCAGUUCCAGACAGGGUCAUCACACUCCGACCUUCAGAGGGGCCCCCCGCCUGCCAGCUCCAGACAGGGCCAUCACACUCCCGAUCCACAGAGGGCCCCCCCACGCCUCCCAGCUCCUGACGGAAGCGCCUGUCCAGCUUCACCGACCUCCAUGCCGCUGCCUGGGGUCUUGCUCGAACGCAAGAGAACACGGGUCUCGUUGAGGGCUCCUCUGCCCCGCAUCUCCUGCUCCUGGACACCCAGGCCUGCCCUCACCACUGCUGCUGGACACCGGGCAGGGGUCCUGGCCACUCUUCUGGAAGGCCAGUCUGACGUUGCAGGCGCAGCCACUUCACUGUUUGUCCUUCACGGUAUGCCAGACUCCCUCCUCCCUGCAAGAGCCUCUCCCAGGGCCCAGUCCUCCCCCGAGAGGUGCUGAUGAGAGUGGAGUAUGGAACCAUCUGCCAGCCAACCCCAGGUGGCCUCUCGGGGGUGCCCUGCCCCACAGGGCCAUGCACGGUGUGGCCCUCCCCGGUGCUGUCACGUCUGAAUGUGGCCCUGCAGACUUGCCCCCACUGGGCUGGAGCACAUCCCCUGGAAUCUGAUCCCAGGAGCUCCGGGAGCAGCUCGCACACAGCUCCAUGGAUGCCCCUCACAGUGGGAGAGACAGGAAAGGCCAGCUCCGAGUCUCACACCUCACUCUUCAAGCUGGGAAAAUGAUGCUGUUACCUUGGGAGGUGAGACCCUCCAGAUGGGAACCUCGACGCUGGGAGCUGGUGUGUUCCCGGAAUUCGGGGGAAUAUUUCAUUCCCUGCGUAUGGUGUCUGGACUUUCAGAUCCCUCCUCCCAGGCACCCAGGCAUCAUUUCACAACCCCAUGCUCAGCAAGCCCCAGAGAAAACUCCUCAAUAAACUACGAGUGUUAAUACCCG
rnacentral:lncRNA from 1 species